UAUGGGUGACCUCUUGUGAGUGCAAGUGGU
rnacentral:piRNA from 1 species